UGCAGUCGAGCGGAAACGAGUUAUCUGAACCUUCGGGGGACGAUAACGGCGUCGAGCGGCGGACGGGUGAGUAAUGCCUAGGAAAUUGCCCUGAUGUGGGGGAUAACCAUUGGAAACGAUGGCUAAUACCGCAUGAUGCCUACGGGCCAAAGAGGGGGACCUUCGGGCCUCUCGCGUCAGGAUAUGCCUAGGUGGGAUUAGCUAGUUGGUGAGGUAAGGGCUCACCAAGGCGACGAUCCCUAGCUGGUCUGAGAGGAUGAUCAGCCACACUGGAACUGAGACACGGUCCAGACUCCUACGGGAGGCAGCAGUGGGGAAUAUUGCACAAUGGGCGCAAGCCUGAUGCAGCCAUGCCGCGUGUGUGAAGAAGGCCUUCGGGUUGUAAAGCACUUUCAGUCGUGAGGAAGGUGGUGUAGUUAAUAGCUGCAUUAUUUGACGUUAGCGACAGAAGAAGCACCGGCUAACUCCGUGCCAGCAGCCGCGGUAAUACGGAGGGUGCGAGCGUUAAUCGGAAUUACUGGGCGUAAAGCGCAUGCAGGUGGUUUGUUAAGUCAGAUGUGAAAGCCCGGGGCUCAACCUCGGAAUAGCAUUUGAAACUGGCAGACUAGAGUACUGUAGAGGGGGGUAGAAUUUCAGGUGUAGCGGUGAAAUGCGUAGAGAUCUGAAGGAAUACCGGUGGCGAAGGCGGCCCCCUGGACAGAUACUGACACUCAGAUGCGAAAGCGUGGGGAGCAAACAGGAUUAGAUACCCUGGUAGUCCACGCCGUAAACGAUGUCUACUUGGAGGUUGUGGCCUUGAGCCGUGGCUUUCGGAGCUAACGCGUUAAGUAGACCGCCUGGGGAGUACGGUCGCAAGAUUAAAACUCAAAUGAAUUGACGGGGGCCCGCACAAGCGGUGGAGCAUGUGGUUUAAUUCGAUGCAACGCGAAGAACCUUACCUACUCUUGACAUCCAGAGAACUUUCCAGAGAUGGAUUGGUGCCUUCGGGAACUCUGAGACAGGUGCUGCAUGGCUGUCGUCAGCUCGUGUUGUGAAAUGUUGGGUUAAGUCCCGCAACGAGCGCAACCCUUAUCCUUGUUUGCCAGCGAGUAAUGUCGGGAACUCCAGGGAGACUGCCGGUGAUAAACCGGAGGAAGGUGGGGACGACGUCAAGUCAUCAUGGCCCUUACGAGUAGGGCUACACACGUGCUACAAUGGCGCAUACAGAGGGCGGCCAACUUGCGAAAGUGAGCGAAUCCCAAAAAGUGCGUCGUAGUCCGGAUUGGAGUCUGCAACUCGACUCCAUGAAGUCGGAAUCGCUAGUAAUCGUGGAUCAGAAUGCCACGGUGAAUACGUUCCCGGGCCUUGUACACACCGCCCGUCACACCAUGGGAGUGGGCUGCAAAAGAAGUAGGUAGUUUAACCUUCGGGGGGACG
rnacentral:rRNA from 1 species